AAAGGAAUAGACGGGGGCCCGCACAAGCAGUGGAUUAUGUGGUUUAAUUCGACGCAACGCGAAGAACCUUACCAGGACUUGACAUCCAACUAACGAAGUAGAGAUACAUUAGGUGCCCUUCGGGGAAAGUUGAGACAGGUGGUGCAUGGUUGUCGUCAGCUCGUGUCGUGAGAUGUUGGGUUAAGUCCCGCAACGAGCGCAACCCCUAUUGUUAGUUGCUACGCAAGAGCACUCUAGCGAGACUGCCGUUGACAAAACGGAGGAAGGCGGGGACGACGUCAAAUCAUCAUGCCCCUUAUGUCCUGGGCUACACACGUAAUACAAUGGCCGUCAACAAUGGGAAGCAAAACCGCGAGGUAGAGCAAAUCCCCAAAAACGGUCUCAGUUCGGAUUGCAGGCUGCAACUCGCCUGCAUGAAGCUGGAAUUGCUAGUAAUCGUGGAUCAGCAUGCCACGGUGAAUACGUUCCCGGGCCUUGUACACACCGCCCGU
rnacentral:rRNA from 1 species